rnacentral:rRNA from 1 species
UACGAAGGGGGCUAGCGUUGUUCGGAAUUACUGGGCGUAAAGCGUACGUAGGCGGAUCUGUAAGUAGGGGGUGAAAUCCCCAGGCUCAACCUGGGAACUGCCUUCUAGACUGCAAGUCUUGAGAUCAGGAGAGGCGAGUGGAAUUCCGAGUGUAGAGGUGAAAUUCGUAGAUAUUCGCAAGAACACCAGUGGCGAAGGCGGCUCACUGGCCCGAUACUGACGCUGAGGUGCGAAAGCGUGGGGAGCAAACAGGG